UACAGAGGUCUCAAGCGUUGUUCGGAUUCAUUGGGCGUAAAGGGCGCGUAGGCGGCGAGGUAAGUCUGGUGUGAAAUCUAGGAGCUCAACUCCUAAACUGCACUGGAUACUGCUUUGCUUGAGGACUGGAGAGGAGAUUGGAAUUCACGGUGUAGCAGUGAAAUGCGUAGAUAUCGUGAGGAAGACCAGUGGCGAAGGCGGGAUCUCUGGACAGUUCCUG
rnacentral:rRNA from 1 species